rnacentral:rRNA from 1 species
GACGAACGCUGGCGGCGUGCUUAACACAUGCAAGUCGAACGGGCCUGCCUGGCUUUGGUUGGGUGGGUGAGUGGCGAACGGGUGAGUAACACGUGAGUAACCUGCCCUCUUCUCUUGGAUAACUGCUUGAAAGGGCGGCUAAUACGGGAUGUUCUGGCUGCCUCGCAUGGGGUGGUUUGGAAAGAUUCGGCCUGGUUUUGGUUGUUUUGGUGGGGGAUGGGCUCGCGGCUUAUCAGCUUGUUGGUGGGGUGAUGGCCUACCAAGGCGGUGACGGGUAGCCGGCCUGAGAGGGUGGACGGUCACACUGGGACUGAGACACGGCCCAGACUCCUGCGGGAGGCAGCAGUGGGGGAUUUUGCACAAUGGGCGCAAGCCUGAUGCAGCGACGCCGCGUGAGGGAUGGAGGCCUUCGGGUUGUGAACCUCUGUCGCCGGUGAUGUA